rnacentral:rRNA from 1 species
GGCAGCAUGAACUUAGCUUGCUAAGUUUGAUGGCGACCGGCGCACGGGUGAGUAACACGUAUGCAACCUGCCCCUGUCAGGGGGACAACCCGCCGAAAGGCGGGCUAAACCCGCGUACAUGCCACCGGGGCAUCCCGGAGGCAGGAAAGGCUUCGGCCGGACAGGGAUGGGCAUGCGGCGCAUUAGGCAGUAGGCGGGGUAACGGCCCACCUAACCGACGAUGCGUAGGGGUUCUGAGAGGAAGGUCCCCCACACUGGUACUGAGACACGGACCAGACUCCUACGGGAGGCAGCAGUGAGGAAUAUUGGUCAAUGGUCGGGAGACUGAACCAGCCAAGCCGCGUGAGGGAGGAAGGUACAGAGUAUCGUAAACCUCUUUUGUCAGGGAACAAAGGCGGGGACGUGUCCCCGGAUGAGUGUACCUGAAGAAAAAGCAUCGGCUAACUCCGUGCCAGCAGCCGCGGUAAUACGGAGGAUGCGAGCGUUAUCCGGAUUUAUUGGGUUUAAAGGGUGCGCAGGCGGUCUGUUAAGUCAGCGGUCAAAGCCCGGGGCUCAACCCCGGCCCGCCGUUGAAACUGGCAGUCUCGAGUUGGAGAGAAGUAUGCGGAAUGCGCGGUGUAGCGGUGAAAUGCA